rnacentral:rRNA from 1 species
CUGCUGCCUUCCGUAGGAGUCUGGUCCGUGUCUCAGUACCAGUGUGGGGGACCUUCCUCUCAGAACCCCUAGACAUCGUCGCCUUGGUGGGCCGUUACCCCGCCAACUAGCUAAUGUCACGCAUGCCCAUCCGUCUCCGGAGUCGCCUCCUUUGGCCGAAAGAAGAUGCCUCCCCUCGGCCACAUGCGGUAUUAGGCCGGAUUUCUCCGGGUUAUCCCGCUGAAACGGGCAGGUUGCAUACGCGUUACUCACCCGUGCGCCGGUCCG